CCCUAUGGGGUGCAGCAGGCGGGAAGGGUAUCCGACUAUACCUCGUUUUUCCUGAGCGGCAAGGUGAUCGAAACGGAUAAAACGGAAGUGAUUUUUUCAAAUCCGUCUGAUAAGAAGACGGAGGAUUAUAUAACAGGGAGGUUUGGAUGAUGGCGGCGAGACCACAGAUGGAACAUGAUAUGUCCGUUAUAACAAAUGACUUAUUGGAUAUGACGAAGCUGGUAGAGGAAACGAUUCGAUCGGCGAUCAAGUCUCUGGUGGAAAGGGAUUCCGAUCUGGCGAGGAGCAUUAUCAACAACGACGAGGAAAUCGACGACGCGGAGGACGAGAUCAAGGAUAAGUGCCUGAAGUUUCUUGCGACCCAGCAGCCUCUGGCGGGGGGGC
rnacentral:rRNA from 1 species